UUAAUUAUUAAAUUAUAUUAUGUCCCUCUUUUACAGAAGGGCAAUAUGCACCGUGUUAAGAUCAAAGGACUGGAUAAAUGCUUUUGAUGCCAAUUAUAGAGUAGAGUUUUACCACUGGAUAUGAGCCCAUUGAUCGGCCCGUUUGCUAGCACUAUAAAGGGCAUGUCAGGAAGUAAUCACCUUUUUAUAAAAAGUUAUGGGAAUUUUUUGACCACUUUGGUGGCUUUUUAAAAGCAGGUUUGAAGGGAAGACUGACAGUAAAAAUGUGUAAAUGUGUAGUGGUUUUACAGCUCUAUUAUGCAUAUUCCUGCCUUAAACUUUAGGUGGGCCAUUUGGCUUUCCAUAUACCUGAAAUAUUCGUACUUAGAUGUUAUUAGUUAAUUUGAAUGUUAUUUUGUCCGAUUUGGUUAUUAUGCUCUUUUUGAUCCCUGAAGUGAUGUAUGGUUGGAGGCAAUGAGAGAGUGAGAAUGAGUGAAUGUUUAGAUCUGCUACAAUUUUUUUCUUUGCUGCCUGGAUAUGGGAGAUUUAGCGUGCAGAAAUAUUGUACAAAAUAAGCUUAUGUUUGUCUCUUUUUGUGUGUGAUGGUGGGAAUGUCAACACAUUUUGCCUUUCAGAUCUGUGUAGAACUUAAACCAAAAGAGGUGUUUUGAAAAUAGAGAGCUGAAAUGAAGGUCUAUUCAGAUGUAAGUUUAUUUUUUAUCAUGUUAAGAUGUUCAAUUCAUUGUAUGUCAGUUAGCAAAUAUGACCACCGGAGUCGUAUGUCACUAUGAAUCACCCGGCUGGAGAGGAUGUAUGUGGUUGGGUUUGUCACAUUUGUUUAGUGUGGUUAUUACGUCAACAUCAGUCCACUUGGUAACUGUAACCACAGCUGUAAUCAAACAGAAAUUUUGCUUUAUUUUUAUUCGCAGACAAAAGGUGAUCAUUGUUACUUUUGUAAAGACGUCUUUGUUCAUUUAAAAUGUGGUGUGAUUUACUUCAUCAAUAUUAUAUACCAGUGCUGCAUCUAAGGACUUUUAAAAUGCCUAAAAUGGGAUAUAUUGUAUUAUAAUGAGUGUUUAGUGCCAAGGUUGUAUUCUGUGAUCAAAUAUGUAUAUUCUGUACUAGACAACAUAUAUAAAAAGAAACAAUCACUUGAAGGAGCUCUUGAGCAGUCAGUGAUCAUCUGGCUUUGGGUAAAAUUCUUUGUCUUUGAAAAAAAAAAAAUAAUUAUAAUAAGAUGACCUGAUGACAGAAUUAUAUUAUUUUCUAAAUAAAAUGAAACAAAGUCAACAAGCCAGUUUGUCAAAUUAUUUAUAUUUCUUUAAAUCUCAACAACUAUGC
ensembl:lncRNA